rnacentral:rRNA from 1 species
GCAUGCCUUCACAUGCAAGCUCGAACGGCAGCACAGACUUCGGUCUGGUGGCGAGUGGCGAACGGGUGAGUAAUGUAUCGGAACGUACCUUUCAGUGGGGGAUAACGUAGCGAAAGUUACGCUAAUACCGCAUAUUCUGUGAGCAGGAAAGCAGGGGAUCGCAAGACCUUGCGCUGAUUGAGCGGCCGAUAUCAGAUUAGCUAGUUGGUGGGGUAAAGGCCUACCAAGGCUACGAUCUGUAGCGGGUCUGAGAGGAUGAUCCGCCACACUGGAACUGAGACACGGUCCAGACUCCUACGGGAGGCAGCAGUGGGGAAUUUUGGACAAUGGGGGCAACCCUGAUCCAGCCAUGCCGCGUGAGUGAAGAAGGCCUUCGGGUUGUAAAGCUCUUUCGGCCGGGAAGAAAUCGCAUAGGCUAAUACCCUGUGUGGAUGACGGUACCGGAAUAAGAAGCACCGGCUAACUACGUGCCAGCAGCCGCGGUAAUACGUAGGGUGCGAGCGUUAAUCGGAAUUACUGGGCGUAAAGCGUGCGCAGGCGGUUUAGUAAGACAGGCGUGAAAUCCCCGGGCUCAACCUGGGAACUGCGCUUGUGACUGCUAAGCUAGAGUACGGCAGAGGCAGGCGGUUUAGUAAGACAGGCGUGAAAUCCCCGGGCUCAACCUGGGAACUGCGCUUGUGACUGCUAAGCUAGAGUACGGCAGAGGGGGGUGGAAUUCCACGUGUAGCAGUGAAAUGCGUAGAGAUGUGGAGGAACACCGAUGGCGAAGGCAGCCCCCUGGGCCGAUACUGACGCUCAUGCACGAAAGCGUGGGUAGCAAACAGGAUUAGAUACCCUGGUAGUCCACGCCCUAAACGAUGUCAACUAGGUGUUGGGAGGGUAAAACCUUUUAGUACCGGAGCUAACGCGUGAAGUUGACCGCCUGGGGAGUACGGCCGCAAGGUUAAAACUCAAAGGAAUUGACGGGGACCCGCACAAGCGGUGGAUGAUGUGGAUUAAUUCGAUGCAACGCGAAAAACCUUACCUACCCUUGACAUGUCCAGAAGCUCUUAGAGAUCUACCCUUGACAUGUCCAGAAGCUCUUAGAGAUUUGAGUGUGCCCGAAAGGGAGCUGGAACACAGGUGCUGCAUGGCUGUCGUCAGCUCGUGUCGUGAGAUGUUGGGUUAAGUCCCGCAACGAGCGCAACCCUUGUCGUUAAUUGCCAUCAUUUAGUUGGGCACUUUAACGAGACUGCCGGUGACAAACCGGAGGAAGGUGGGGAUGACGUCAAGUCCUCAUGGCCCUUAUGGGUAGGGCUUCACACGUCAUACAAUGGUCGGUACAGAGGGUUGCCAAGCCGCGAGGUGGAGCCAAUCCCAGAAAGCCGAUCGUAGUCCGGAUUGCAGGCUGCAACUCGCCUGCAUGAAGUCGGAAUCGCUAGUAAUCGCGGAUCAGCAUGUCGCGGUGAAUACGUUCCCGGGUCUUGUACACACCGCCCGUCACACCAUGGGAGCGGGUUCCGCCAGAAGUAGGUAGCCUAACCGCAAGGGGGGCGCUUACCACGGCGGGGUUCGUGACUGGGGUGAU